AUCCAUCUCCUGCCCCCCGCAGGCGAUUCCCCAACGUUUCCGCGCGGAUUCGGGUGUUCCUCGCGCGAAUCAGCGUGGAUCCGAGAUUGCGUAAUUGGAUCCUACUUACUGCGUUUGAUUACCCUGUGGUCACCUGCUAGUAAUUCGCCUGAGCAUUUCAUGGACAUCAUGCUUUUGUUUGUAAUGGAGGUCAUUUGCCACUUCUCAGUGUUAGUUUUAGUGGACUGAUGCGAGUUGUGCACUAUCAGCCAGUCAGGGUUAAGUAGAACUGAAAAAUUGCCAAUAAGGGUAAGGUUCCAAUGUGGAGCUCACAUGCCAUUCACGGCAAUAAAGCAUCACUGCUAUCAGGGUCUUACUGUGGACCAAUCUAUUUCAUGGCUUAUUAUUUACCCGUUGCUCCACAAAAGGAAAGAAAGAAGUGAUGCUACUAUGGCAACAGAUGAGCCACAUAUGUGAUUCUUUCUGAGUUCAUGGUAGCUUGCAAGAAGCUUGUGCUGUUAUGACUUAUCUUUGGAUAUGCUGGCCCAACCUGACUUUACUUUGUUUCUUAUAUGAUGGCAGGAAAGAUAUCUGGUAGUACAAGCUUGAAUUGGGAGUUGGGGCUAUAGUCCUAUUAGCUUAUUAAAUGAGGAUUAAUCAGCAUAGGCUUCUGUUUUGUCACUCAAAGUUACAUAUUUUAUCUCUCUUUCUGAUGCUACAUGAUAAUUAAUAAACAGGCUCAAGUGUGACGGGGCUAUUUUUUGUUCGGUGUGCAUAAUGUUCAAGCUAACCUGCACAUUUAAUAAUAAUAGGGAGCGCUUCAACCUGUGCCUUGUGUCUCUGAGAUUUACUGCCGUGUAUUCCAAUUCACAUUUGCUCAUAUGUGCGUUACAUGGAUAGGUAGCUUGUAUUAUAGAUUAAAUCAAAAGCAACCUACGGAAUUCUUUGACGGCAUUUUCUGCAGCCUGCGGAACAUUGUAUCUGCAAUAGUAAAAAAGUAUAUGGGCUGACUUUGGCAUUUCAUGGGAGGUUUUGAAGAUGAUGAACCACCCUCAAAACGCGCAAGAGCAUCCUCAGUAGAGUCGGCAAAUUUACCAGAAAAUUUCUGUUAUUCGAAAUCCAUUAACCCUUUGGGAGGUACAAUGGCUAGACCUUUGGCUUCCCAGGGGAAAGAAGUUAUGGUUGGUUCUAAAGGUGUUAUUAAGAGGGACGAAUUUGUGAGGAUAAUCACAAAAGCUCUGUAUACUCUUGGAUAUGAAAAAAGUGGAGCUGUUCUUGAGGAAGAAUCAGGUAUUACAUUGCAUUCUCCGUCGGUGAAUCUAUUCAGAAAGCAGGUGCUUGAUGGUAAUUGGGACAAUGCAGUAGCUACCUUGAAUAAACUUGGCCUUCUGGAUGAAAACAUUGUGAAGUCUGCUGCAUUUUUGUUAUUGGAGCAGAAAUUCUUUGACCUUUUGAGAAAUGACAACUUAAUGGGUGCCAUAAAGACGUUGCAAAAUGAAAUCUCCCCCCUUGGUGUUAACAGAAAACGAGUUCAUGAAAUGUCAAGUUGCAUAAUUUCUUCUCCGCAGAACUUCUUGCUUGCAUUUCCAAAGCUUGGAACCGAAGCUUCUGACUCACGCCUUAAGCUCCUAGAGGAAUUGCAAAAGGUGCUCCCACCUGCUGUUAUGGUACCAGAGAGGAGGUUAGAGAAUAUAGUUGAACAGGCACUUACUGUACAACGUGAAGCUUGUUAUCUCCAUAAUUCUAUUGAUGGCUUGUCACUAUAUGUUGAUCAUCACUGUGGGAGGGAUCAGAUACCAUCUCGAACACUGCAGGUUCUGUGUGCACACGGUGACGAAGUAUGGUUUCUUCAAUUCUCAAACAAUGGGAAAUAUUUAGCCUCGUCAUCAAAUGAUAAAUCUGCAAUUAUAUGGAAGGUCGAUGAAGAUGGAGAACUAUUGCUGAAGCAUAGAUUGACUGGUCAUGAGAAACCAGUGAUGAUGGUUGCAUGGAGCCCUGAUGAUAGCCAGCUUCUUACAUGUGGAAUGGAAGAAGCCAUCCGGCGUUGGAAUAUUGAAUCUGGUGAAUGUAUUCAUGUCUACGAGAAGCCUGGCCUUGGUUUGACGUCAUGUGGUUGGUUUCCAGACGGAAAGCAAAUAUUGUGUGGUCUAUCUGAUCAAAGCCUUUGCUUGUGGGAUUUAGAUGGUAAAGAGGCAGAUUGCUGGAAAGGGCAGCGGUCAUCAAAAACAUCUGAUUUUGCUGUAACAAAAGAUGGCAAAGUUAUAAUAAUUAUGAACAGAGAUUCCACAAUUCUUUUAUUCAAUAGGGACACGAAACAGGAGAGGCUGAUUGAAGAGGAUAAUACAAUCACUUCAUUUUCUCUUUCUGAUGAUGGAGAUUUCUUGCUUGUAAAUCUUAUAAGUGAGAAGAUCCAUUUGUGGAACAUAAGGAAUGACCCCAGUAGAGUGAAACAGUACAUUGGCCAUAAACGCAGCCGGUUUGUUAUAAGAUCGUGCUUUGGUGGAUCGGAUCAGGCCUUUAUUGCCAGUGGGAGUGAAGAUUCAAAGGUCUAUAUAUGGCACAGAGCUACGGAAGAUGUUAUCGAGACUCUUUCUGGUCACUCCGGCGCAGUCAACUGUGUAAGCUGGAACCCUACAAAUCCACAUAUGCUCGCUUCUGCGAGUGAUGAUCACACAAUACGUAUAUGGGGGUUGAAGAAGGCCAGCACAAAGCGGAAGGACAUAGGCAGCAGCAGUAGCAGCAAUGGGACUCACAUGAACGGCAGUGCCAACGGCAACGGUUUCUUUCACCAGUGCAACGGUAGCCGCAGCAAAUGAUGAUGGCUUGAUCCUUGGUAGCCCCCAUGCAAGCGAUGAUAGCUUGAUCCUUGGUAGCCCCCAUGCAAGCGUCAUUUGUAAAUCCUCCUUUGCUUUGCUUUCCUUUCGCCAGGAAGAACACCAUAGUUUAAAACAAAGCUACAGUAACAGGUGUGAGUGAGUGAAAAACCUGCUUGGUUUUAUGCACCAUCUCCCUUGUUCCAUCAUCAUCAUCACUGUGGUCACAUUAAUUUAUCAAUUCAAGCUGGAUACAAAUUCCGGUGUUAUUUCACAUGUGAAGCAGCC
rnacentral:rRNA from 1 species